CCUACGGGGGGCAGCAGUGAGGAAUAUUGGUCAAUGGACGAGAGUCUGAACCAGCCAAGUAGCGUGAAGGAUGACUGCCCUAUGGGUUGUAAACUUCUUUUAUAUGGGAAUAAACUGUUCCACGUGUGGGAUUUUGUAUGUACCAUAUGAAUAAGGAUCGGCUAACUCCGUGCCAGCAGCCGCGGUAAUACGGAGGAUCCGAGCGUUAUCCGGAUUUAUUGGGUUUAAAGGGAGCGUAGGUGGAUGGUUAAGUCAGUUGUGAAAGUUUGCGGCUCAACUGUAAAAUUGCAGUUGAAACUGGCAGUCUUGAGUACAGUAGAGGUGGGCGGAAUUCGUGGUGUAGCGGUGAAAUGCUUAGAUAUCACGAAGAACUCCGAUUGCGAAGGCAGUUCACUGGACUGCAACUGACACUGAGGCUCGAAAGUGUGGGUAUCAAACAGGAUUAGAUACCCUUGUAGUC
rnacentral:rRNA from 1 species